AUGGCGGCGCUGGCCGCGAGCCGCCGCCUCCUCCUCAUGCUCCGGCCGGAGCUGGAGCCGUGCCUGCACUCCCGCGCCCUUAACCCCUAUUCCGGCCGGGCGAGGUGGGCGGGCGGCCUCCGGCGCGCGCCUCCGCUGGUGAGCUGCCGGCGAGGUUUCUCCGACGAGGGGGGCGCGUACGCCGCGAAGAACAAUGCUCCGGACGAGCAGUUCCUGCAGCUCUCGUUGGACGAGGGAGAAGGCGAUGACGUGGUGCCUGGAAUCAGCGAAAGCGUGGUGAAGGAUGCGAAGAAGAGCGCCAUUGAGCUGCUUGCUGUCAGGGCAUUCAGUGUUUCUGAGCUCAGGAAGAAACUAUGUGGUAAGAAUUAUUCUGUCGACACAGUCGACUCUGUGAUUGCUGAUUUCAAGUCAAGGGGUCUGUUGAAUGAUGGUUAUUAUGCGGAAUCAUUUUCACGAUCCCGGUGGCAGUCAUCAACUUGGGGUCCAAGGCGUAUAAAGCAGGCGCUUCGCCAGAAAGGGGUGCCAGAGGCCGAAGUGGACCAGGCGACGAGGAGCGUGUUCCAGGACGACCGUGGUGACGAAGACCAGGCCUCACAUGGCCUCUCAGAAGCUUCCAUGGAUCAUCUCUUUGCUCAGGCCUCGAAGCAGUGGCUGCGAGGGAGCAGCUUGCCCCUGGAGAAGCGGCGUGCGCGCAUCGUGAGGUGGCUUCAGUACAGAGGGUUCAGCUGGGGCGUGACCAACUCCAUUAUCAGGAAGCUGGAGGCACAGCACCCCCCCUGA
rnacentral:rRNA from 1 species